rnacentral:rRNA from 1 species
CAGCUAGUUGGUGAGGUAACGGCCCACCAAGGCAAUGAUCGGUAGCCGGCCUGAGAGGGCACACGGCCACACUGGCACUGAAACACGGGCCAGACUCCUACGGGAGGCAGCAGUGGGGAAUCUUGCACAAUGGGGGCAACCCUGAUGCAGCGACGCCGCGUGAGCGAUGAAGCCCUUCGGGGUGUAAAGCUCUUUCGGCAGGAACGAUAAUGACGGUACCUGAAGAAGAAGCUGCGGCUAACUACGUGCCAGCAGCCGCGGUAAUACGUAGGCAGCGAGCGUUGUUCGGAGUUACUGGGCGUAAAGAGUGCGUAGGCGGUCCUGUAAGUUUGGUGUGAAAUCUCCCGGCUCAACUGGGAGGGUGCGCCGAAGACUGCAGGGCUUGAGUAUGGGAGAGGUAAGCGGAAUUCCUGGUGUAGCGGUGAAAUGCGUAGAUAUCAGGAGGAACACCUGUGGUGUAGACAGCUUACUGGACCAUCACUGACGCUGAGGCACGAAAGCGUGGGUAGCACA